rnacentral:tRNA from 1 species
GGACGGGUGUCCGAGCGGCUGAAGGAGCCGGUUUCGAAAACCGGUGUACGGGUUUCCCGUACCGUGGGUUCGAAUCCCACCCCGUCCGC